UUUUCCUCUGGGUUUCCAAGAUCUCAAGGCGUUUAACUUGACUUCCCUAUCUCUCCUGUUAUGUGCCCCACCACCCCACGUCAUGUUAUCUUUCCUGUAUAUGGUGAAUUCAAAAUAAGGAUGUGGCUGGCUGUUCAACUCUAGUGGCCCUGGAACCGGAGUUCCAUUUCGCCACUCUGUUCCAUCUGAUCCUGUCUACACCAGAGUCUGAUGAAAGCCUUUCUGGGUGCUGAGGCUGUGUGGUGAGUGGUGUUGCUCUCUAAUUGAUUUUCUUUAUCUCUGAAUCACGCUACCUACCAAACCUUCUGAUUCACUUGAAUCUAACAGAGGAGAUGGGGGGGGGGAUAAAACACUAUCUUGAGUGAGUGAGUGAGUGAGUGAGUGAGAAGCUCAGACAAUGACAUUUAAUCUCCCUGUUCAACUGUGUGGAUAUGUCAAAUUAUUGACUUAUUGGUAAUUUAAUAGGAUUUAGUGACAUAUCAUCAGUACAUGUAUCUAACUUGAAAAGUUUUGAAUCCAACCUGACAUCAUGACCUUUUCAGUUUUAAUGUGACAAUUAUACAACAAUUUUGGCAUCACCACUAGCUGAGCACUAUCUGCACUCAUACUACUUAUACUCUUUUGGAAUAUUAAUGGGAAAAAAACAAAGUAUAUCUCUCAUUCCUGGAUAGGUAUAAGAUGUCUAUGUGCUGUCAAUAUAUGCAAAAGAGGAUGUGAAAGAGUUUGUUUUUGUCUUUCUGCUCUUUUAUUUUUAUGACAAAGUAUUAGUCAUUGAGAGGUCUAGUGUCUCAGGUCACCUUCCAGCAAAGAGGAAACCUCUAAUCCAAAAUUAAAGGGCAGAUUGUCAAAUAGUGAUUUGUACAUAUCUAUGACAUGUUUACCAAAUUAACUAGAAGUACAAUUGAAGCUUUGCGGAGAAAGAGAAACAAAAGGAGAAAUAGGCAAAGCUUUAACUUUGUCAGCCUGUUGGAGGAUAUUGUUGGAGGAUAUUGCCUAAUCGAGAAAGAGGGACUGUUGUAACAUUUACCACAAUGGCUUAAGAGAAGAACACGUUUAAGGGGAGACAGAGGAACAAGGUAUAGAACAUGUUGAAAUAUUGUAUCUUUGUGACACAUCCAUUACACAACAAAGGGUGUCAAUGUCCCUCUGAAACAAUAACAUACUUUUGUGAGAAUAAUGUGCCAUUAAAGGUAACAACCUUUUCGGGAAAAAAAAGUCCACUCCAUACUUGUAAAUGACAUUAUAAAAUCCAACCAUUCCAUGGAAUGCCUGUAGACAUGGCAUCUAAAAGUGCUCAAACAUUUGACAUAAAUUAGGAAUGUUUAUUGACCAUCCUGACAUAUUUGUAUUCCACUGAUAUGUUAGCCUAUAGAAGGAAAAUAUAUCAUAAUCCUGCUUUCCUUUAAUCGAAAACAGGAAAUUGGCAUUCUCAUUUGCGUUUACAAGCAUACUAAAUAAUGACGCGAGAGAGCGACAUGCUAGCCGGUGACAAAAUAAAUCACUCCAAAUGUAAUAACUUUUUUUCUGUCCGUCUCCCUCUGUCACUCUCUCGCUCUCUCUCCUGUCACGCUCUGUCUGUCAGUCUAUCUCUCUGUCACUUUCUCUUUCUCUCUCUCAAGGCAGCAAGGGACAUUUAGGAGCCAUAGGAAAUUAACUCCCUGCAAUAAUAAUAAGGCAAAACUCUGCAUAGGGAGGAAGAGCGAAGUGGAGGCCUUUAUGCAGACAGAUGAUAAGCAGUAAAUAGAAGGAGACUUCAAUGGCCUCACAUCACGCAUCCACUACAUAGGUUGCGUCCCAAAUGUUAGCAGUACAGAAAAUGUGUCAUCAAAGUGGAAAAUAAACAUAAUUGUAGUGAAUUUCAUCUAACUACUCAGCAAACACAUGGCAUAACUGUUUUACUGUCAUUCUAUUCAUUUAAACGUUUUUCAGAUUAUCCACAGCCAAUUGAUUACUGACCGCUGGGUAACGGUCAGACCGCUGGGUAACCAAAGGGUAACCAAAUUCAGAAACACAUUUCAAUUUCCACUGGUCUAUUGCAGUUAUUUCCCUAUUUCAGUGAUUUUUAAUAUUAAGUGAAGAUAAAUCAUUUGUCAACGUUUCAGAACCUGCAGAGCCUUGGUAGACUGGCAGAGAGACAGGCACGUUUGAGAGAGGGAG
ensembl:lncRNA